GACGAACGCUGGCGGCGUGCUUAACACAUGCAAGUCGAACGGAAAGGCCCUGCUUUUGUGGGGUGCUCGAGUGGCGAACGGGUGAGUAACACGUGAGUAACCUGCCCUUGACUUUGGGAUAACUUCAGGAAACUGGGGCUAAUACCGGAUAGGAGCUCCUGCUGCAUGGUGGGGGUUGGAAAGUUUCGGCGGUUGGGGAUGGACUCGCGGCUUAUCAGCUUGUUGGUGGGGUAGUGGCUUACCAAGGCUUUGACGGGUAGCCGGCCUGAGAGGGUGACCGGCCACAUUGGGACUGAGAUACGGCCCAGACUCCUACGGGAGGCAGCAGUGGGGAAUAUUGCACAAUGGGCGGAAGCCUGCUGCAGCAACGCCGCGUGCGGGAUGACGGCCUUCGGGUUGUAAACCGCUUUCGCCUGUGACGAAGCGUGAGUGACGGUAAUGGGAAAGAAGCACCGGCUAACUACGUG
rnacentral:rRNA from 1 species